rnacentral:misc_RNA from 1 species
UCCGAGUUGACCCCGGCAGUCUCCUAUGAGUCCCCACCAUCACGUGCUGGCAACAUAGGACGAGGGUUGCGCUCGUUGCGGGACUUAACUCAACAUCUCACGACACGAGCUGACGACAGCCAUGCAGCAUCUGUGUGGCACCCUCGAAGGUCACACGUUUCCGUGCGCUUGCAGCCACAUGUCAAGCCCAGGUAAGGUUCUUCGCGUUGCAUCGAAUUAAACCACAUGCUCCACCGCUUGUGCAGGCCCCCGUCAAUUCCUUUGAGUUUCAGUCUUGCGACCGUACUCCCCAGGCGGAGUGCUUAAUGUGUUGACUUCGGCACAGCAGGGGUCGAUACCCGCUACACCAAGCACUCAUCGUUUACGGCGUGGACUAC